rnacentral:ncRNA from 1 species
CAAAGGUUUGGUCCUGACUUUACUGUCAGCUUUAACCUAAUUCAUACAUGCAAGUAUCCGCACCCCUGUGAGAAUGCCCUCAAUCCCCCUCCCGGGGACGAGGAGCAGGCAUCAGGCACAAUCAUUUGGCCCAAGACGCCUUGCUUUGCCACACCCCCAAGGGAAUUCAGCAGUAGUAAAUAUUAAGCCAUAAGUGAAAACUUGACUUAGUUAAGGUUAAAAGAGUCGGUAAAAUUCGUGCCAGCCACCGCGGUUAUACGAAAGACUCUAGUUGAUAGACACGGCGUAAAGGGUGGUUAGGAUAACAACAAAAUAAAGCUAAAGACUUACCAAGCCGUCAUACGCCCAUGGAAGAACGAAAACCACAUACGAAAGUAACUUUAUUAUAACAUCCGAACCCACGAAAGCUAAGAAACAAACUGGGAUUAGAUACCCCACUAUGCUUAGCCUUAAACCAAGAUAUUAUUUUACAAAACUAUCCGCCAGGGUACUACGAGCAUAGCUUAAAACCCAAAGGACUUGGCGGUGUCUCAGACCCACCUAGAGGAGCCUGUUCUAGAACCGAUAACCCCCGUUAAACCUCACCACUUCUUGUUAAUCCCGCCUAUAUACCGCCGUCGCCAGCUUACCCUAUGAAGGCAAAACAGUAAGCAAAAUGGACAAAACCCAAAACGUCAGGUCGAGGUGUAGCGCACGAAGUGGGAAGAAAUGGGCUACAUUUUCUAUUGCAGAAAAUCACGAAUGGUUUACUGAAACACAUACCUGAAGGAGGAUUUAGUAGUAAAAAGCAAAUAGAGAGUCCUUUUGAACCAGGCUCUGAGACACGCACACACCGCCCGUCACUCUCCCCUACACAAAAACCUAACAAUAGAUAAUACAUCAAAAAACACAUCGGGGAGGCAAGUCGUAACAUGGUAAGUGUACCGGAAGGUGCACUUGGAACAAU